ACUGGCCAGCAACUGUCAAUUUUAAAACCUUGUAUGCAGUGGAUUGGUUCACUAAAUAUGAGGAUCUCAAGAUUGCGGCUCUGGGAAUGUCACGGCAAGCUUUUGUUAGCAUGCCUGAACUUCGCACAAAAGUCUUAGGUCGCAGAUUAAGAUAUGUGGGGAUACCAUGCAGAAUGCAUUACUGGAAUAGACCUAUGCCAAAUUUGAAGUUGAGAGGCUGUCUCAGGUGCAGCAUUCAGUGCCCUGCGUGCACACCCUCCAUGUUGGCUUUUGCAGUGGAUGGGAUCCGUAAACUAUACGGCUUUAAGAGCCAACCAGGGAUUCUGAGGUGUCUUCCUUGGUUGACUACAUCCAUGAGACGACAAACCACACUGUGCAAAGGACCCUGAGAACAUCACCACUCACAUCACCACAGGAAGACACAGUCCAGUAAUGGGUGUCAGAUGUUCAGCAGUGGACGACAGGUACUGUGGAAAAAAUGUAUGUCAUUGUUGCACAAUGUCCUUUGACUCUGUUUACACAAGGUCUACACAAAAAGGUUUGAUUGUAAACUGAUAUUGGCACUAAUUCAUUUUAUUCUCCUCUUCACAAGGACCAACCAAUCAAAAUGACUUACAGAACGCCAUUGAGGACUCUAUUUGAGCAUUAGGCAGCAAAGAUUUCAGCUGUAUCAUCAGGCUGGCAGUACUGAGGCAUUUACGGAGACGGGACAUGAGGGUCUACUCUGCGUGCUCAAGAGAAGAUUGCACAAAGUUCAAGCUCAGCAGGCUGCAGUGGGUCCGACAUAUUCUGGAACGGCAACAAUGUCUUUGGAUGACUCCUCCUCUGAAGAGGAAAACAUGGAGAGUUACUUCUUCGCUGCUCAAGAACUGCGAGUGCUGUGAUUAGUUCUUCUCAAGUGAAGCUGUACCACUGUGCUCCAGCUCCACACUCCCUCCUGCAGCCUCCGCUCCUGAUGUUAACCUCCUGUCUCCAUCACACCAAGCAGCAAACCUGGAGUGACAGAACUUUCUCCAUAGCUGCCCCCUCCCUCUGAAACCCCCUCUCCCAAACACUAUUUUUGUAUUUUUUUGCAUGAGAAUUGUUGAUCAUAUCAUUUCCAGCAACUGCCUUAAUGUAAUUUUUGUGCAUAAUAAAUGACAUUGAUCAUAA